UCCCUGGUGGCUCAGACGGUAAAGCAUCUGCCUGCAAUGCAGGGGACCUGGGUUCAAUCCCUGGGUUGGGAA
rnacentral:tRNA from 1 species